UGGGGAAUAUUGGACAAUGGGCGCAAGCCUGAUCCAGCCAUACCGCGUGGGUGAAGAAGGCCUUCGGGUUGUAAAGCCCUUUUGUUGGGAAAGAAAUCCAGCUGGUUAAUACCCGGUUGGGAUGACGGUACCCAAAGAAUAAGCACCGGCUAACUUCGUGCCAGCAGCCGCGGUAAUACGAAGGGUGCAAGCGUUACUCGGAAUUACUGGGCGUAAAGCGUGCGUAGGUGGUCGUUUAAGUCCGUUGUGAAAGCCCUGGGCUCAACCUGGGAACUGCAGUGGAUACUGGACGACUAGAGUGUGGUAGAGGGUAGCGGAAUUCCUGGUGUAGCAGUGAAAUGCGUAGAGAUCAGGAGGAACAUCCAUGGCGAAGGCAGCUACCUGGACCAACACUGACACUGAGGCACGAAAGCGUGGGGAGCAAACAGGAUUAGAUACCCUGGUAGUCCACGCCCUAAACGAUGCGAACUGGAUGUUGGGUGCAAUUUGGCACGCAGUAUCGAAGCUAACGCGUUAAGUUCGCCGCCUGGGGAGUACGGUCGCAAGACUG
rnacentral:rRNA from 1 species